UUCACGCGUAACCGGAAACUACGUCACGUCGGGUAAACUGAUUUCCGCCACAGCUGAAACUACGGUGUUUGAACAUGGAGCGUUAUUUCACAACUUCUCUCUCGACACUUCCACGACUCAGAUUUGAGGAUGUUGACAGAAUUGUUGGACGGCACUCAACAGUUAAAGAAACGAGGCUGAGCAAGGGCUAUAAAUUCUUCGUUGAGGAAUUUAUUCACAAUUAUCAAGGUAUCACUGGAGACAGAAGAGGUUGUUUGUAUUUCUGCCUACAUGUGCAGCUGGUAAAGGGUUGUGCAACCAUCUGACAGCACUUCUGUAUCAGACGGCCCACUAUGUGCAGCUGAAUUUACAGUCUGUCCCUCCACCACUGGCCUGCACGAGUGAGCCACAGAGAUGGCAUCGUCCAAGAACACAGGCAUUCCAUCCAGAGGCAGUGAGUGAACUUGUUGUCCUGAAGCCAAAGUCAGCUGGGAAGACUGGAAUCAAGUCUACUCUAUACAGGGCUUACACAGGUCCCCUUCCAGAUUCUGAUGUAUUGGCUUCUGGUACCAAACUGAGUCAGAUCCAUCCCCGGCCUUUGCUGGCACACAUACUAGAGGGCAUGUCAAAAAUAGAGUUGGUCCCCUCACAGUUUGGUCCUGUACCUCGUGGUAGUCCACUUUCAUACCAAUGUCCCCCUAUAGCUGUAGAUAUUCCUGUUGUUAAUUUCCCCCCACUACCUGUGCUUGGCUAUCAGUUUGGCUGUAAUUUUAAAUAUGUGCCCACACACCAUCAAUCACUUCAUCUGGAGUCUAUAAAGGUUACCCAUUGUUCCGCUUGUCAGAUU